AAAUCACCUAAAAAGUAGAAACACCUGGCCAUGUGUUUGGGGCUUGUGAAGGUGGUGAUGAUAGUGGUGAUUUAACAAGUGUGGCAGUAAAUCUCCCAUAAUGUAAAGUGGUUGCCAAGAAAUGGUUGCUCAGGGAGAGACUGCAUGUGGUAGGCAGAAUAAUAGCCCACCACCACAGAUGUCUACACUCCAAUUCCCAGAAUCUGAGAACAUGUUAGCUUACCUGGCAAAGGAGAAUUUAUGUUGUAGAUGGAAUCAAGGUGCUAAUCAGCUGACCUUCAAUUAGGGAGAUCAUGUUGGAUUAUGCUUUGGGAUAAAAUGAAGAUAUCAGGGAAGGAAGAAGCAAAUGUUUGCAGCCACAAACUUCCUUGAACUCUGACUGACACAGAUGAGGGUAACCUUGGAGCCACUGUGUCUGACUCAUAGCUAACACCACCUGACCUUUUGGUAAAAACCCCAAAUCUGAUCUUGCCAGCUGCCUUGGGCAGGCUUCCCCAUUGGAUUUGGCAUGGUUGACUUAUUUGUGAAAUCAGCAGAAAAUCCAUCCCAGCUGGGAGACAUCAACCCCCUCUAGCCAGAACACACCAGCUCUCUGCACCGGGAGAGUACUCUUCAAAGGACUUGGGUCUGAAGGGCCUCCUUCCCUGGUAGAAGGUGAACCACUGUGAAGCUGGACCCUGGAACAAGGGGUACUCUGUCUCUAAGCUUCUCUGCAACUGCUUAUGGGAGAAUAUGAUGACUUUCUGACCACAGCCACUGGAUGGAUAUGGAUUGGAGAGCUGAGGGAGAGAUAAUAACGGUGAUAAAAGUGAAACCACCUAUUUCUGCAGCUUCAUCAUCUAUACUCAAGCCAGCCUGAUCUUCAUUUCUUUUCCUCUUCUGUACCAAGCUUGAUCCAAAUCAGGGCUUAUGCACUUCCACCUGGUGUACCAUCUGUCCAGGGUGCUCUGCCUCCGGAUCUCCAGUGGGUGCCUCUUUCCCGGAUGGCAAUCUUGGAUUGAAGAUCAUCUCCUCAGCUCUCUGGCCAUGCUGAUAAUGGUGCCUGCUGCCAUGCCUGUUACUCUCAUAUACCGUUUAUUUUCUUCAGCAUUCCAAUAACUACUGAAAUUCUUAAUUCUCUACUUCCAACAUUGUCUAUCCUGUUCAAUUCUGUAGCCCCAGAGCCUGGAUCAGAGGCUGGACUUUGUAGCUGCUCAAUGCACUUUCACUGAACACUGCUAAGUGAAUGCCUUGACUGAGUGUGCAGCAGGUUUCUGCCCAUAAUUCUCAUGGACUACUCCACAUGACCCUAGGAAGUAUAUUCUGCUUUCCUUGAGUUACAGAGGCACCUACAGAAGCCCAGAUUGGGCAGAAAGACGCACUCAAGAUGCCACAAUUGGUAAGAUUUUCCUGGAGGAAUGAAGUCAUGCUGAUGAAGACAGUGACAUAAUCAAGUCACAUCACCCUGGACACCCUAGAGGAGAAAAGAAUUCCCAGGAGGACUUUUGACUGGCUUAUUAUCAUCCAGAAACAAGAAAUCAGACAGCGUUGUUAUUCCUUCCCUGCCUCAGGCUGGCUGGCAGGCACAUCAACAGUCAUCACAGUGAAGUUCUCUCAAUGGGCUCUUUGGGUUCAUCGAACAAUUCCUCAAAGUACAUCUUCAUGGAAUGUAUAUUUAGUGUGCCUUUUAUUCUCUUUAGUCUGCUGGCUCUUCCUGAUUUCUACUUUUGGUUUCAGUGCCAGGUACUCGAGAUGUCAGUUAACCAAAAAAGAUAUAUUCCGACUAAAGACUUAACAUAGAAUAACACCCAGGGCAGUAAAGCACAGUUGUCAGAUUAAUCAAUUGCACUUCUGUGUCCAUUUCUAAUGGGGAGAACACAGUAUCAGAUGGCUGAUUUUAAAAGAAUAUAAUUAAGUGCUACAAUAAAAGUAAUCACAGCAGACUAUAUGAGUAAAGAACAGCUGGAUCUUUAUUUUUCUGUAGUCAAACUUUUUGUUUUUCUUCAAAAAUUUUAAAAACAUUUGUACAGCUAUAUCAGGCUAUAAUUUAUGUAAUAUGAGUACAAAUCAAUGAUUUUAAUGACUUACAAAGAUGUGCAGCCAUCAUGUAAUUUGAUUUUAGAUUUUAUUCAUUACCCCCACCCACACAUAUUUGUAAUUGGUCCAUAUUCACACACCUUUGCCCCAGAAACCAUUGAUCUACUUUCUGUCUCUAUAAAAUUGUAUUUUUGUAUGUUUAAUAUAAAUGGAAUUAUGUAGUAUGUAGUCUGUGGAUCUGGUUUUAAAUUUACAAUAAACAUUUGAGAUUCAUUUAUAUUUUAGCAUGUAUCAGUAUUUUAGUUUCUUUUUUUACUUUAAUACAUAUUUAUAUUUAUUUAUAGUGCAAUUUUCUUGCACAUUUUAGAGAUUAGAUAGCUAAAUAGAUGGCACUGUGUUUCAUUUGCAAAACGUGUCAUCAUCAAACCAAUAUACAAAUGUGGGAUGGAGUAAUGUAAGUGCUUUAUUAUUUUAAGAGCUAACAUUCAAAGAAUAAAUAUUUUAGGAUAUUAAUCUAAAAUACACAUACAUAGAGAUAUAGAAAUGGAAAACAAGCAAAAUGAACAUUGUAACAAAUUUCCUCAUUUAGUUGAUUACUGAUAAAUAUUGCAAAGUAUGGAAAUAACACCUUUUACUUGCUCAUGCAUCUGGUUUUUAGACACUUGGAUUGCAUUUCUGUCUAUUCCAUUAAUGUAUUAUAAGCUUAUAUAUUCAAGUCUUUGUACAUAAGGUUUCAUUUUUCAGGUGGAUUAUUCUUAAAACUGGAAUUGCUAGGUUGUUUGGGUUAACUUAUGUGUAACUAUGUAAUAAACUCCUGAAUAAAAGUGAGUGUACCACUUUACAUGUCCAUGGGCACUUGAUGAGGAUUCCAUUUCUUCAUGGACUCACCAAUGCUUGGUAAUGUCUUUUUAAUUGUAGUCAUUCUAGUUGAUUGCAAUGAUUGUGGUUUUAGU